GGCCCCUUGGUCAAGCGGUUAAGACAUCGCCCUUUCACGGCGGGGACAUGGGUUCGAUUCCCGUAGGGGUCACCA
rnacentral:tRNA from 1 species